AUAAUAAUUAGUCUUUUAAUUGAAGGCUUGAAUGAAUGAUUGGACGAGGUAAAAUCUGUCUCAUAUAAAUUAAAAUUUUAAUUUAAUUUUUUAGUUAAAAAGCUAAAAUUUUAUUAAAGGACGAGAAGACCCUAUAGAGCUUUAUAUUAUUUUUUUAAUGAAUUUUAAUUUUAUUUUAUUGGCUUAAUAUUAUUUUGUUGGGGCGACAGGAAAAUUUAUUUAACUUUUUUAAUUUUAUUACAUUGAUUUAUGACUUUUUGAUCCUAUGUUUUAGAUUAUUAGAUUUAG
rnacentral:rRNA from 1 species